CCUACGGGUGGCUGCAGUGGGGAAUAUUGGACAAUGGGCGAAAGCCUGAUCCAGCCAUGCCGCGUGUGUGAAGAAGGCCUUCGGGUUGUAAAGCACUUUCAGUGGGGAAGAAAGCCUUGGGGCUAAUACCCUCGAGGAAGGACAUCACCCACAGAAGAAGCACCGGCUAACUCCGUGCCAGCAGCCGCGGUAAUACGGAGGGUGCGAGCGUUAAUCGGAAUUACUGGGCGUAAAGCGCGCGUAGGCGGUCUGAUAAGCCGGUUGUGAAAGCCCCGGGCUCAACCUGGGAACGGCAUCCGGAACUGACAGGCUAGAGUGCAGGAGAGGAAGGUAGAAUUCCCGGUGUAGCGGUGAAAUGCGUAGAGAUCGGGAGGAAUACCAGUGGCGAAGGCGGUCUUCUGGACUGACACUGACGCUGAGGUGCGAAAGCGUGGGUAGCAAACAGGAUUAGAUACCCCAGUAGUC
rnacentral:rRNA from 1 species